AGAUAUAAGCAGGGACUCUGGGAGACUCUGACACACUGAGGGAGAACAGCCGUGGGGUGUCUCUGAAGCGUGUUCAGCUCCAACUGCAGGUGACUUCACACAGAUCUACAUCAGCAGAUACUAACUCACACAGAAAUCUGACCAUGAAGCUGCCAGCGGUCUUCAUCGUCCUCCUCCUCGCUCCUGUGUUGACCAGCUGCACGGAGCUCAUCCAGCCGAAGGACUGCAGCGACAUCCGCCGCCAG